rnacentral:rRNA from 1 species
UACGUAGGGGGCAAGCGUUGUCCGGAAUCAUUGGGCGUAAAGAGCGUGUAGGCGGCUCGAUAAGUCCGCUCUGAAAGCCCGGGGCUCAACCCCGGGAGGCGGGCGGAUACUGUCGAGCUAGAGUCCGGAAGAGGGAGAGUGGAAUUCCUGGUGUAGCGGUGAAAUGCGCAGAUAUCAGGAAGAACACCCGUGGCGAAGGCGGCUCUCUGGGACGGUACUGACGCUGAGACGCGAAAGCGUGGGGAGCGAACAGG